rnacentral:lncRNA from 1 species
UUUUCUACCCCAUAUCUUGCAUCUCUCUCGCACAUCGACCAGUUUCACUCCCCACCAGGCAGGAGGCGACGAGUGUUCUCGGCGGCCACAGUUCGUCAUUGGCGUCUUGUUUUCCGCCCGAGAAGGUUGGUCUAACCAACCGCUGUAGUAUUUCGUUGAAAAAUAAACUCAGUGCUCUCGCAGAACACAGUAAUUUGUUUUCAGAAUGAGUGACUUAUAAAGCAAAUACAGAUGCGGUAAAUAAUAAAGCUACCACAGCCCGUGCACGUGACUAUGGAAAAGAAAGCAAGCCCGAAGUUCCUAAGGCACCUGUGGCCCUAGUUCAAUCCUGCAAGGCGUU